GACGAACGCUGGCGGCGUGCUUAACACAUGCAAGUCGAACGAUGAACCCGGAGCUUGCUCCGGUGGAUUAGUGGCGAACGGGUGAGUAACACGUGAGUAACCUGCCCUUGACUCUGGGAUAACUGCGGGAAACUGUAGCUAAUACCGGAUACGACCCUCGGCGGCAUCGCCAGGGGGUGGAAAGAAUUUCGGUCAAGGAUGGACCCGCCGCCUAUCAGCUCGUUGGUGAGGUAACGGGCCACCAAGGCGACGACGGGUAGCCGGCCUGAGAGGGUGACCGGCCACGCUGUGACGGAGACAGGGCCCAGCCUCCUACGGGAGGCAGCAGUGGGGAAUAUUGAACAAUGGGCGCAAGCCUGAUGCAGCAACGCCGCGUGAGGGAUGACGGCCUUCGGGUUGUAAACCUCUUUUAGUAGGGAAGAAGCGAAAGUGACGGUACCUGCAGAAAAAGCACCGGCUAACUACGUGCCAGCAGCCGCGGUAA
rnacentral:rRNA from 1 species